rnacentral:rRNA from 1 species
CCUACGGGUGGCAGCAGUGGGGGAUAUUGCACAAUGGGGGAAACCCUGAUGCAGCGACGCCGCGUGAGUGAAGAAGUAUUUCGGUAUGUAAAACUCUAUCAGCAGGGAAGAAAAUGACAGUACCUGACCAAGAAGCACCGGCUAACUCCGUGCCAGCAGCCGCGGUAAUACGGAGGGGGCAAGCGUUAUCCGGAUUGACUGGGCGUAAAGGGAGCGUAGACGGUUAUGUAAGUCUGGAGUGAAAGGCCGGGGCUCAACUCCGGGACUGCAUUGGAUACUGUGGAACUGGAGUGCAGGAGGGGCAGGCGGAAUGCAUGGUGUAGCGGUGAAAUGCGUAGAUAUCAGGAGGAACACCGGCGGCGAAGGCGGCCUACUGGACUGUAACUGACGUUGAGGCACGAAAGCGUGGGGAGCAAACAGGAUUAGAUACCCGGGUAGUC